rnacentral:sRNA from 1 species
AUAUAAAUGAAAAUAUUGGACAUUAAUUGUAGAAUAUGUCCAAAUAAGGCAAGU